rnacentral:rRNA from 1 species
CUGGCGGCAGGCCUAACACAUGCAAGUCGAACGGUAACAUUUCUAGCUUGCUAGAAGAUGACGAGUGGCGGACGGGUGAGUAAUGCUUGGGAACUUGCCUUUGCGAGGGGGAUAACAGUUGGAAACGACUGCUAAUACCGCAUAAUGUCUACGGACCAAACGGGGCUUCGGCUCCGGCGCAAAGAGAGGCCCAAGUGAGAUUAGCUAGUUGGUAAGGUAACGGCUUACCAAGGCGACGAUCUCUAGCUGUUCUGAGAGGAAGAUCAGCCACACUGGGACUGAGACACGGCCCAGACUCCUACGGGAGGCAGCAGUGGGGAAUAUUGCACAAUGGGGGAAACCCUGAUGCAGCCAUGCCGCGUGUGUGAAGAAGGCCUUCGGGUUGUAAAGCACUUUCAGUUGUGAGGAAAAGUUAGUAGUUAAUACCUGCUAGCCGUGACGUUAACAACAGAAGAAGCACCGGCUAACUCCGUGCCAGCAGCCGCGGUAAUACGGAGGGUGCGAGCGUUAAUCGGAAUUACUGGGCGUAAAGCGCACGCAGGCGGUUUGUUAAGCUAGAUGUGAAAGCCCCGGGCUCAACCUGGGAUGGUCAUUUAGAACUGGCAGACUAGAGUCUUGGAGAGGGGAGUGGAAUUCCAGGUGUAGCGGUGAAAUGCGUAGAUAUCUGGAGGAACAUCAGUGGCGAAGGCGACUCCCUGGCCAAAGACUGACGCUCAUGUGCGAAAGUGUGGGUAGCGAACAGGAUUAGAUACCCUGGUAGUCCACACCGUAAACGCUGUCUACUAGCUGUGUGUGUCUUUAAGACGUGCGUAGCGAAGCUAACGCGCUAAGUAGACCGCCUGGGGAGUACGGCCGCAAGGUUAAAACUCAAAUGAAUUGACGGGGGCCCGCACAAGCGGUGGAACAUGUGGUUUAAUUCGAUGCAACGCGAAGAACCUUACCUACACUUGACAUGCAGAGAACUUUCUAGAGAUAGAUUGGUGCCUUCGGGAACUCUGACACAGGUGCUGCAUGGCUGUCGUCAGCUCGUGUCGUGAGAUGUUGGGUUAAGUCCCGCAACGAGCGCAACCCUUGUCCUUAG